AGGAUGUGAUCUGAUGGCUGCUGGCAGGAGCCCAGGCGCGCCCGAGAGGCUGAGGCACCCGUCUGAGGCUGCACGCGUGGGGUCGAAGCCUCUGAGUCCCCCGACCAGCGCCAUCUGCUGAGCCCGGCUGCCCUGGAGCCCGACCCCCGACCCGGACCCCCCGGCUCUGCCGCCCGCGGCCAGCACCCCUCCAGGCCAGGGAGCCAUGGCGGGCCUGCGGCACGGCCGGCCCAACUGCAUCAGGGCAGCCUUCAGCGCCACCAGCGCCAGCGCCAGGACGGGCCUGCAGAGGCGGCCAUGGAGCACGCUCCGUCGGGUCAAGG